UACGUAGGGUGCGAGCGUUAAUCGGAAUUACUGGGCGUAAAGCGUGCGCAGGCGGUUCGCUGUGUCCGAUGUGAAAGCCCCGGGCUUAACCUGGGAAUGGCAUUGGAAACUGGCGGGCUUGAGUGCGGCAGAGGGGGGUGGAAUUCCGCGUGUAGCAGUGAAAUGCGUAGAGAUGCGGAGGAACACCGAUGGCGAAGGCAAUCACCUGGGCCUGGACUGACACUGUGACACGAAAGCGUGGGUAGCAAACAGG
rnacentral:rRNA from 1 species